AUUGAACGCUGGCGGCAUGCCUUACACAUGCAAGUCGAACGGUAACAGGUCUUCGGGCGCUGACGAUUGGCGAAGGGGGGGGUAAUACAUCGGAACGUGCCCAGACGUGGGGGAUAACGAGGCGAAAGCUUUGCUAAUACCGCAUACGAUCUAAGAAUGAAAGCAGGGGACCGCAAGGCCUCGCGCGGUUGGAGCGGCCGAUGGCAGCUUAGGUAGUGGGUGGGAUAAAUGCUUACCAAGCCGACGUUAUGUAGCUGAUCUGAGAGGACGACCAGCCACACUGGAACUGAGACACGGCCCAGACUCCUACGGGAGGCAGCAGUGGGGAAUUUUGGACAAUGGGCGAGAGCCUGAUCCAGCAAUGCCGCGUGCAGGAUGAAGGCCUUCGGGUUGUAAACUGCUUUUGUACGGAACGAAAAGGCUCUGGCUAAUCCCUGGGGCACAUGACGGUACCGUAAGAAUAAGCACCGGCUAACUACGUG
rnacentral:rRNA from 1 species